GGAAGAUAUUGCGACUGGUAUGUUUUGAAAAUAGCCAACACAAUUCAACGUCUUCCUGUUGGUACUGAUGUAGCCUCUUCUAUGUCUGAAGGAGAAAACAAAAAGCCUGGAAGAAUGCAAAAAGGCUUUGUUCUUUUACUGUAUAGUGACUAUUACAUCCAAAUAGCCAUUUGUUCUUCUGCAAAAGAGAAAAAAAAGGCAGGUAGUAUCCAUUUUUGAAUAAAG